rnacentral:rRNA from 1 species
UGACCUCAGCUCNAGCAAGAAAACCCGCUGAACUUAAGCAUAUCAAUAAGCGGAGGAAAAGAAACUAACAAGGAUUCCCCUAGUAACGGCGAGUGAAGAGGGAAAAGCUCAAAUUUUAAAUCUACCUGGUUUCCAGGUCGAAUUGUAAUUUGAAGAAGCGAUAUCGGUGUUUAGGUCUGGUUCAAGUUCUUUGGAACAAGGCAUCAUGGAGGGUGAGAAUCCCGUGCAUGAUCAGACCAAGAUACUUAAUAUUCGCUUUCUAAGAGUCGAGUUGUUUGGGAAUGCAGCUCAAAAUGGGUGGUAGACUUCACCUAAGGCUAAAUAUCAGCGAGAGACCGAUAGCGAACAAGUACUGUGAAGGAAAGAUGAAAAGAACUUUGAAAAGAGAGUUAAAUAGUACGUGAAAUUGUUGAAAGGGAGACGAUUGAAGUCAGUCAUGCUAGUGAAUAUUCAGUUUGACGGGUUUUGGGUUUGGGAGUAGAGGCAGGGUCAAACCGUUUCUCUUUUGAACUUGGGAUUUGUCAGAUGCACUUUUUCUUUGGCAGGUCAGCGUCGAUUUCGGAGGUUGUAAAAUACUUGGGGUAAGGUAACUCUGCUUCGGUAGAGUAUUAUAGACCUUGAGGGAUGCAGCUUGCGGGAUCGAGGAUUGCAGCAAAUGCCUUUGGCUUGGCGCCUGAUCUCUGGAUGCUACCUCGCUUGUGACAACAUUCUUGCCUCCGGUGAGUACUAAUGCCCAUUAGGUUAGAGCGACCAGAAAUUUGCUAAGGAUGCUGACGUAAUGGCUUUAAACGACCCGUCUUGAAACACGGACCAAGGAG